AGCACCAAGAAAUUAUUUGCAAUGGCUGACUUGAUAGACGACGAUGAUAACGACUGGCUUGUAGCAGACCCAGAACCAUAUUUGUUUGAACCCGAAUACACAGAGGAGGAACUAGCUUUUAUGGAUCGUGAAAGGCAGGAAAGAUGAGUGAGACGGUGAACACGUGCGAACAGCAACUGGUGGAGAGCCUGUGCUGUCGAGAAUAGGAUCUAGUGUUGCCAUCGGUAGCGGGGGUCAUAGAUCUAGAAGACCCUGGCUGUGCCACAGAAAGCGGUGCGUUUGCAGCAACGAUUCACCCGGCCGUCGUUGACUUAUUUUUCCGACGUGACAAAGUUAAUUGGAAGAAACGACCCACACCGAGUGGACCUGAUGGGCAACUAUCCCCUGAUCAAACUCGGUUGUGUCCUACCGGAUCGUGCUUGAAUGGGCCCUACAAGGUGAAGUUUUGGGGAGAGAGCAUCGGAAACCACUACCAUCAUGUGUUGUUGUGGCCAUAAGACGAAAAUAUCCUUCUGAAUCAGGUGUUUAUAUUGGAUUCCAAGAAGUAAAUGAGGCAGUGGACAUAGGCCUAUUGUAAAUGGAACGAUGUGCUCGACGUCAGCUUAUAUUUCCCACUAUCUGUGGGACACACACUGCACCUUAUGUCAGUAGUAGGCUACCUGUUUGUAUUUUUUCCAUAUUACUAGCAUUAGGCCUACUGUCUCACCAUCACUUUAUUUUCAAUUUCCCCUUUUGUAUUACAUUGCACAUCAUUAGUCAGUCUGUACAUUACUCUCUGAAUCGAUAGGCUACACUGUAAAAACUGUUACUUGGAUCUAACUCAAUAAAAUUAAGACAACAUUUUCGGCAUCUCUGUAUCUUUGAUGUACAGUAUAUAAAUAAAUCUUUGAACCUA